rnacentral:rRNA from 1 species
AUUGAACGCUGGCGGCAGGCCUAACACAUGCAAGUCGAGCGGAUGAAGGGAGCUUGCUCCUGGAUUCAGCGGCGGACGGGUGAGUAAUGCCUAGGAAUCUGCCUGUUAGUGGGUGAUAACGUCCGGAAACGGGCGCUAAUACCGCAUACGUCCUGAGGGAGAAAGUGGUGGAUCUUCGGACCUCACGCUAUCUUAUGAGCCUAGGUCGGAUUAGCUAGUUGGUGGGGUAAAGUCCUACCAAGGCGACGAUCCGUAACUGGUCUGAGAGGAUGAUCAGUCACACUGGAACUGAGAAACGGUAAAGACGACUACGGGAGGCAGCAGAGGGGAAUAUUGGACAAUGGGCGAAAGCAUGAUCCAGCAAUGUCGCGUGUGUGAAGAAGGUCUUAGGAUUGUAAAGAACUUUAAGUUGGGAGGAAGGGAAGUAAGUUAAUACCUUGCUGUAUUGACGUUAACAAAAGAAUAAUCACCGGCUAACUUCGUG